UACGUAGGGUGCGAGCGUUGUCCGGAAUUAUUGGGCGUAAAGAGCUCGUAGGUGGCCUGUCGCGUCGGCUGUGAAAACUCGGGGGCUCAACUCCGAGCUUGCAGUCGAUACGGGCAGGCUAGAGUUCGGCAGGGGGAGACUGGAAUUCCUGGUGUAGCGGUGAAAUGCGCAGAUAUCAGGAGGAACACCGGUGGCGAAGGCGGGGUCUCUGGGCCGAUACUGACGCUGAGGAGCGAAAGCGUGGGGAGCGAACAGG
rnacentral:rRNA from 1 species